rnacentral:rRNA from 1 species
CCCUUAGAUGUUCUGGGCCGCACGCGCGCUACACUGACGCAUUCAACGAGUCUAAAACCUGGUCUGAUAGGGCUGGGUAAUCUUUUGAAUGUGCGUCGUGAUUGGGAUAAAUGAUUGUAAUUCUUCAUUUUCAACGAGGAAUGCCUAGUAAACGCGAGUCAUCAGCUCGCAUUGAUUACGUCCCUGCCCUUUGUACACACCGCCCGUCGCACCUACCGAUUGAAUGGUUCGGUGAAGAUCUCGGACUUCGAUAUUUAUUCUUUAUUGAGUUUAUAUUGUGGGAAGUUAUCUAAACCUCAUCAUUUAGAGGAAGGUGAAGUCGUAACA